rnacentral:rRNA from 1 species
CAGUAGCCGCGGUAAUACGAAGGGGGCUAGCGUUGUUCGGAUUUACUGGGCGUAAAGGGCGCGUAGGCGGACUGAUAAGUCAGGGGUGAAAUCCCAAGGCUCAACCUUGGAACUGCCUUUGAUACUGUUUGUCUUGAGUUCGAGAGAGGUAAGUGGAACUGCGAGUGUAGAGGUGAAAUUCGUAGAUAUUCGCAAGAACACCAGUGGCGAAGGCGGCUUACUGGCUCGAAACUGACGCUGAGGCGCGAAAGCGUGGGGAGCAAACAGGAUUAGAUACCCCUGUAGUCCCUGUCUCUUAUAC